rnacentral:tRNA from 2 species
GGGUCUUUAGCGCAACUGGUUAGUGCAUUCGGCUCAUAACCGAAAGAUUUUGCGGGUUCGAGUCCCGCAGGACCCACCA